AUGGGUACUCCGCGCUAGCUAUCUUGUAGCGUUCAUAUAGAGCAAGCUGCUGUACGGCGGCUGCGGUAGAGGUGGAGACGGCAAAGUUCCCUGCUCGCUUGACUGCCUAGCGCAGGCACGUUGCUCAACGAAGUUUUCUUUUCCUACAGCCGGUGCCUGUAGCGCACGAGGUGCGUCUCGGUUGAUGGGGUACUUUCGGUUCCCUGAGCCUCACGCACGGCUUUUGGAGCUCACUCAGUCUGCUUCCUUAACUUUAAGUGACUGCAGGAGCCGUUUGAAGGCAGAGGCACGAGAGAGCACCCUGUCAAGCAAUUUCGAGCACUCGGCUCUGGACUUGUAACCGCUUUGGCUCUUUGCUGCUGACUGGUUAUUUCAUAGCGCAGCUGGUCACUGAUUCCACGACGAACUGGGGAGCUUGUCACCAUGGGCUCACUGGACAAGCUUUUCCUGUGCACCUAGACGGCGUCUCCGUUGUGAAGCUGUCCUUGGAAUCGACGUCAGCGAGACUAUCGUUCACUGAGGUAUACUCAGCUGCGAGACGAGCCUCGUGUUCUUGCAUACGACACCAGAAUAGAAAUCGCCUUUUCAGGCCUAUUUAUUUAUUCGUUGCGUGUCACAGAGUAUAGUAGCACAGCGGGCGUUGACUGCACCGAGCAAGAACGCUGUCCGGAAGAACGUUACGUAUUAGGUUCUUCUUGCCAGUUGUCUUGUAGAACCUUGGGAGCGAUUGCGGAUGGAUACCCCUCGUAUUCGAAACUCACGUGUACAGUUCCUAUUCUAGAGUGAGCCUCAGGUUAAAAGAGACAGCGAAUGAGCAGCGUCCAGAACAUUAGCAGAGAACGUUGAACGAAUGGCAACUGCGGUGUCGGACCAUACAGCGAUUCGCCUCUUGGGCCCAACGAAGGCAGCAAUGUUGCAGACUAUGCAACGUCUAUGAUCUCGUAUGCAUGUCUUGUUCGUCUCUUUGCCGACGGAGAGUGCAGCUUCUUGACUCUCUAUGUUUCUUCGAGCCCAAAAGAUGCACAGCCACUUUCAACUGGCGAAACGGGUUCGGAGAUCGUGUCUCGAAAGGGUCCAAGUUUGAAGCAUUUCUCCCACGUUGCAGUGGUACCGGGGUUAUGGCACAUGUUGCCGCAAGCAAAACAUCAUCAGAAGCGUUGCCUGUAUUCAAACUGCAAGUGGCGCUCUCGGCACGAACGUAGCAACUUGUUUUCGCUUCCGGAUGAUUCCAUUCAGUUUUUCCGUGCUGAAGCAGUUCACAGCACCACAACGCCAUCAUGUCUCUGCAGGCGAUAGCGGCCAUAGCGGCGGCGGCGCAUAUGACGAUGCUGGAUAGAUCGAAAUUCCGUCUCGGAAGGCAAGCCUCUUGUGGGGAUGUCGAAGCUCAGACGGAUCUGGGGAGUUGCCGUGGUUUCGUCCCUGAUUACAGACUGCUGCAGCGACGCCGUGGGAGAAGUCUGAUUCGAAUAUUUGAUUUUGCACUAUAAAAUU